AAAGCAGGGAGUGGACUUGGGGGGGGUUUGUCCAGCGCCUUAACUUUCACUCUUGUUCUCGCUCCAGGGUUAACCUUUCCGUUAAUUUACCUCCAAUACCAUCAGGAAACACACAAUGCUUUUCUGUGAAGUGAUUUUUGUUUUGUCUUUGAUGACAUUUCUACUCGACUUCCACGCGUCGGGCUGUGUUUUCAACUGUAAAGAUAAACCUGUGUUCACUCCAUCCCGGCUUGUCGUCAAGUAUGGUGACCCAGCGUCUGUGAUCUGCAAUGCAUGUCAGCAAGAAUGCCUCAACGAAUUAUUUAACUUAGAGCAUUCUGUGGGAAAGGCAACAAUAAACGGAACCACAAUUUCCUGGAAUACUGAUAAUUUAACUGAAUGGACAGCUCGUCUCCAGUGCUAUUACAAUAAGGCUGCUGAGAAUGUUUCUGAUCCUGAUGUCCAGUGUUGUACCACCCUGCCCCUAACCUUAUACAAGCCCCCAGAUAAGGUGUCCAUCAGCUUUACUAACCACACCGGGCCAUUGAUAGAGGCUCAUCCGUACACUCUGCAGUGUACAGUACAUAAUGUUGCUCCUGUUGAAAAAGUCAAGGCAAUCUUCUACAGAGGACAUUCAGUUGUUGGUCAAGUACAGGUUCUAAACAGUUAUGGGGGAGAACUAAUGACUCAUUCCUAUACUGUGGACGUCGUCCCCCUUAAACGUGAAGAUGGUGCUGCGUAUUGGUGUGCAGCAGAGCUUGUCCUGGGACCUGAAGGACCACAGCCCCCUCCAGUGGUGAUAUCUCAAAACAUGACUACCACUGUAUACUACGCGCCUAAGCUACAGGUGUCAAAACAUCCAGGGUUGAUCACCAUCAAUGAAGGAAACCAGCUAAAACUGGAUUGCUCGUCUGAUGGAAACCCGAGCCCCUCAUACAACUGGACGCUUCCAUCGGGUAGCCUUCACCUCUCCUGGAGCAGCAUCCUCACUUUUGAAUCUGCAGCUGCUGAACAUGAGGGCAUGUACACCUGUACUGUCAGCAACGGCUAUUGGAACUUCACUGAGGAGUUUCAUGUGAAAGUCCAUGCCAACAACAUCGUAUACAUUAUAGUUGGUAUUCUAUUUGCUGUUGUUCUGCUUGUCAUCAUUGGUGUUAUCAUAUGGACCCUAUACUACAAAAACAAACGAAUGGGACAAUACGACCUGAUUUUGAGCGUUUGCCGCUUUCGCCGCUCACCACAUUCUGCCGUGCCCACCGUAGAGUGAAGAGUUGUAAGUCAAGAGGCUCCCCUGUGGCUGAAGCAAACCAUGAGCCACAACUUCACCUGUUUGAGCCUGGUGAGCAACCUCUUCUACAUCUCCCACUCCCCCUUGUCCUGUUCUCUCUUUGUCCUGUAUUUAGAUCAAAUGUCUUUAUUUGUCUUCAGACAAUUUGUCUAUCCUAAGCACUGAAUGAAAAGAAAAUAACUUGCUCUAUUCACACUGAAACUUAACUUUUGGUAAAGCUCAGUUGAAAACUGUGUUCACUGUUUAAGGAGGGAUGUACAUAGUUUAGAGUAUUUUGUGAAUUGGUGACAGGCCACUAUAUUUUUUAUCAAACAUUAUUCAUAUUGGAUAAAAGGACAUUGGUCAAAGACUAUUUUCAGUUCCAGGGUAAUAUAUAUUUGAUGUUAUUACACCGGCUAUGUCUACAUUCUCCUAGUAUUGGUGUAAACUUUACAGAUUUGAGUUUAAGUAACUACUUGUUAGUUUGUUUGUUAAUAGUUUGGUAAAAUGGAAAGACGCUGUUUGAAGUUGAGAUGUUCACUCUUAUCACAUUAAAACAGGUUUCUUAUGUGAACUGAUAUGAGGUAAACCUCAAGAGUGAAAAUGGUUUAUAAAUACAGAUGUUUAGAUCCAAAAGAACUUUGUAAUAUUGUCCACUGCCAAAUCUCAAUCAAUUUCAAUAUAAAGUGAAAGUGCUGUUAUAGAGGACACAUUAUACCCCUUUUGUACCUUUUCAAACAGUCCCCUGUGGUCUAAAUGAAACAUCUGUGCUGUGCUUUGGUCAAAAUAUAACAUGAAUCAAGCACCAGAGGAGGUUUGUGACCCUGUAUGAACCAGCUCUCUCAGAGCGCUCCGUUUUGGGGUGUGUGUCUCUUUAAAUGCAAUGAGCCCUCCCUGAGUUUUCCUAGUCUACCAGCUGAUGUGAGUUAUAUAUUCUAUUUGUUGUUGUGUUUUGUUGCUUAGCUAGUUAACUGUAUUCUAUGAUUUUAUUUUGAAAGCUCAGGUAUUGGUGAAGCCUAAAAAGAAAAAGGGGUAGGACUAGUUUUUUUCACUUCAUCCUACACCAUUUUCCAACAUGGACUUAAAGAAAAUACACAACAAAAUGAAGUUCUCAUUGUUAUUUUCUUUGUCUGUUUGUAUAUUUUCUUUGCUAUUUUUAAUAUGUUUUUAAUAAAUAUAAAAUGUGAAAUGAAAGAAAAACGUGUAAUGCUAUAAUUAUCAACAACUGUUGUGCAUCUUGGCCAAUAUGAAAGUUCCCAUAAACAAAGUGUAACUGUUUGUGAUUCUUACUGUUUAGUUUCAUCACUCUGAAGGACUUUAUUCCUAGAGGUGCAGGAAGUGUAUUGUUAUUAUGUGAAAUUAUAUAAGCUUGAUUUUGUGUGUGUGUGUGUGUGUACUCGCUUGAAUAAAAUACUAAGCUCCAAAA